UACGGGGGGUGCGAGCGUUGUCCGGAAUCACUGGGCGUAAAGGGCGCGUAGGUGGCGACCCAAGUCGAUGGUGAAAGCUCGCCGCUCAACGGCGAGUCGGCCACCGAUACUGGGUUGCUGGAGCACUGUAGAGGCUCAUGGAAUUCCGGGUGUAGCGGUGGAAUGCGUAGAGAUCCGGAAGAACACCGGUGGCGAAGGCGGCUCACUGGGUCAUUACUGACGCUGAGGCACGAAAGCGUGGGGAGCAAACAGG
rnacentral:rRNA from 1 species